rnacentral:rRNA from 1 species
UACGAAGGGGGCUAGCGUUGUUCGGAUUUACUGGGCGUAAAGCGCACGUAGGCGGAUUGUUAAGUCAGGGGUGAAAUCCUGGAGCUCAACUCCAGAACUGCCUUUGAUACUGGGGAUCUCGAGUCCGGAAGAGGUGAGUGGAACUCCGAGUGUAGAGGUGAAAUUCGUAGAUAUUCGGAAGAACACCAGUGGCGAAGGCGACUAACUGGACACGUAUUGACGCUGAGGUGCGAAAGCGUGGGGAGCAAACAGG